GACGGACGCUGGCGGCGUGCUUAACACAUGCAAGUCGAACGGAAAGGCCCCAGCUUGCUGGGGUACUCGAGUGGCGAACGGGUGAGUAACACGUGGGUGAUCUGCCCUGCACUCUGGGAUAAGCCUGGGAAACUGGGUCUAAUACCGGAUAGGACCGUGCUUUAGUGUGUGCGGUGGAAAGUUUUUCGGUGCAGGAUGAGCCCGCGGCCUAUCAGCUUGUUGGUGGGGUAAUGGCCUACCAAGGCGGCGACGGGUAGCCGGCCUGAGAGGGUGUACGGCCACAUUGGGACUGAGACACGGCCCAGACUCCUACGGGAGGCAGCAGUGGGGAAUAUUGCACAAUGGGCGCAAGCCUGAAGCAGCGACGCCGCGUGGGGGAUGACGGCCUUCGGGUUGUAAACCCCUUUCGGCAGGGACGAAGCUUUUGUGACGGUACCUGCAUAAGAAGCACCGGCUAACUACGUG
rnacentral:rRNA from 1 species